rnacentral:misc_RNA from 1 species
AAGUCGUAAUUCGCAAUCUCUGAUAAAUCAUAGCCCGGAAAGUUGUAGUGAUUCAGAGACCUCUGGCUACGUGCGAACAUUGGAACAGUUACAAUCGAGCGGUAGUUCUAUAGGCAUUGUUUCGCCAAGCAGUCAGUGUCGGAAAGUGUCAUUGAUUGUGCAAGGAUAGCGCUUCUACGAUUUCUGUAGACCGUACACUCGGGCAGGAGCUUUGCCAAAGGGUCCCCAUGCCCAGUUUAAUGUGAAGCUCAAUAAUGGAUAUCUUGGUUCUC